UUCAAGUCCAUGCCAUGCCUUUCCACAGCUUUCUUGAACUUCUCCUCCUCCUCCUCUCUCUUAGAAGGGUAGCUUUGAACAUCUCUCUCUCUCUCUCUCUCUCUCUCUCUCUCUCUCCAAAGAAGGUCAAGAAAGCUGUGGGAAGAAAUGACAUAACAAGGA
rnacentral:pre_miRNA from 1 species